GAGCGGUAUAGAGAAGCUUGCUUCUCUUGAGAGCGGCGGACGGGUGAGUAAUGCCUAGGAAUCUGCCUGGUAGUGGGGGAUAACGUUCGGAAACGGACGCUAGUACCGCAUACGUCCUACGGGAGAAAGCAGGGGACCUUCGGGCCUUGCGCUAUCAGAUGAGCCUAGGUCGGAUUAGCUAGUUGGUGGGGUAAUGGCUUACCAAGGCGACGAUCCGUAACUGGUCUGAGAGGAUGAUCAGUCACACUGGAACUGAGACACGGUCCAGACUCCUACGGGAGGCAGCAGUGGGGAAUAUUGGACAAUGGGCGAAAGCCUGAUCCAGCCAUGCCGCGUGUGUGAAGAAGGUCUUCGGAUUGUAAAGCACUUUAAGUUGGGAGGAAGGGUUGUAGAUUAAUACUCUGCAAUUUUGACGUUACCGACAGAAUAAGCACCGGCUAACUCUGUG
rnacentral:rRNA from 1 species